GGAGGAAAAGAAACCAACAGGGAUUGCCUCAGUAACGGCGAGUGAAGCGGCAAGAGCUCAACUUUGGAAUCGCUCCGGCGAGUUGUAGUCUGGAGGUGGCCACCACGAGGUGUUCUAGCAGCAGGCAAGUCCUUUGGAACAAGGCGCCAGCGAGGGUGACAGCCCCGUACCUGCUUUUGCUAGUGCUUCCUGUGGCCCACCGACGAGUCGAGUUGUUUGGGAAUGCAGCUCUAAGUGGGUGGUAAAUUCCAUCUAAGGCUAAAUAUUGGCGAGAGACCGAUAGCGAACAAGUACAGUGAUGGAAAGAUGAAAAGCACUUUGAAAAGAGAGUGAAACAGUACGUGAAAUUGUUGAAAGGGAAGGGCUUGCACCCAGACACGGUUUCGGCCGGGCCAGCAUCAAGUAGAACGGGGUUAAAAGACCUGGGGAAUGUAGCUACCUCUUGGUAGUGUUAUAGCCCUUGGGUGAUGACCCCUGUUUUGCUUGAGGACAGCGGUCUCUAGGAUGCUGGCGCAAUGGUUGCAAGCCACCCGUCUUGAA
rnacentral:rRNA from 1 species